UACGUAGGGUGCAAACGUUAAUCGGAAUUACUGGGCGUAAAGCGUGCGCAGGCGGUUAUGCAAGACAGAUGUGAAAUCCCCGGGCUCAACCUGGGAACUGCAUUUGUGACUGCAUGGCUGGAGUGCGGCAGAGGGGGAUGGAAUUCCGCGUGUAGCAGUGAAAUGCGUAGAUAUGCGGAGGAACACCGAUGGCGAAGGCAAUCCCCUGGGCCUGCACUGACGCUCAUGCACGAAAGCGUGGGGAGCAACAGG
rnacentral:rRNA from 1 species